UUGUUAGAAAAGUAAUGUUUCUGCUUUUUUGUUCUUUGUUAGGGCUUUAUUUCUUGAUUAUCAUGUAUAGGUGUCUUGGGAGAGAAGAGAGAGAAAGAUUUGUGCUCAGUAUGCCCCCUCGAAUCUAAAGUCUGACACAGAAUUUUAUUCUUUGUUAGAUUAUAAAAGAAAAUGCAAUUAUUUAAACAGCAUGAAUUGAUUCUCUCCCGCAUCACCACCCCAGCUGUCGCCACUGGAGGAAACGGUUUUCCAUGGCUUCAACGCAGAACACCUUUUUCCAGCUCCUCGUUUAACCGUGGCCUCACAAGUGUCCUGUUCUCAAGUGAAACGGGAAACAGUUGACCCAAAAACAUGUUCCCCCAAAGAGUUUUUGGAAAUGUUCAUCUUUCCAGUUCUGCUGCCUGGAAUGGCUAGCCUGCUUCACCAAGCAAA